rnacentral:rRNA from 1 species
AGAGUUUGAUCAUGGCUCAGAAUGAACGCUGGCGGCACGCUUAACACAUGCAAGUCGAACGAGAUCUUCGGAUCUAGUGGCAGACGGGUGCGUAACGCGUGGGAACCUGCCCUUUAGUAAGGAAUAACUCAGGGAAACUUGUGCUAAUACCUUAUAAUCCCUUCGGGGGAAAGCUUUAUGCGCUAAUGGAUGGGCCCGCGUUAGAUUAGCUUGUUGGUGAGGUAAUGGCUCACCAAGGCGACGAUCUAUAGCUGGUCUGAGAGGAUGAUCAGCCACACUGGGACUGAGACACGGCCCAGACUCCUACGGGAGGCAGCAGUGGGGAAUAUUGGACAAUGGGGGCAACCCUGAUCCAGCGAUGCCGCGUGAGUGAUGAAGGCCUUAGGGUUGUAAAACUCUUUCGCUAGGGAAGAUAAUGACGGUACCUAGUAAAGAAGAUCCGGCUAACUCCGUGCCAGCAGCCGCGGUAAUACGGAGGGAUCUAGCGUUAUUCGGAAUAACUGGGCGUAAAGCGAGCGUAGGCGGAUUUGUAAGUUGGAGGUGAAAUCCCAGGGCUUAACCCUGGAACUGCCUUCAAAACUACAUUUCUUGAGUUUGGUAGAGGAGAGUGGAAUUCCUAGUGUAGAGGUGAAAUUCGUAGAUAUUAGGAGGAACACCAGUGGCGAAGGCGACUCUCUGGGCCAAUACUGACGCUGAGGUUCGAAAGCGUGGGGAGCGAACGGGAUUAGAUACCCCGGUAGUCCACGCAGUAAACGAUGAGUGCUAGAUGUUGGGAACAUUAGUUUUCAGUAUCGCAGCUAACGCGUUAAGCACUCCGCCUGGGAAGUACGGCCGCAAGGCUAAAACUCAAAUGAAUUGACGGGGACCCGCACAAGCGGUGGAUCAUGUGGUUUAAUUCGAAGCAACGCGAAGAACCUUACCGGCUCUUGACAUACCAAUCGCGGAUCUAAGAGAUUAGAUCCUUCACUUCGGGUGGAUUGGAUACAGGUGCUGCAUGGCUGUCGUCAGCUCGUGUCGUGAGAUGUU